CACAUUUACUUCUCUUUUACAACACUUUUGCAGACCCCCAACACUCAUUAGUAGGUGGGAGCAAUUUUACUUUUGCUGGCUUCAGUAUCCGUGUUAGGAAUUCCUAAGAAGAAAUUCCAUUGUUUUCCUGCUAUAUGCAAGUUCAUGCAUUGCGAAAUCCCAAGAGAAUGCGAAUAUCCGCAUUCUUAUAUGAAGAAGAAAGGUGGUCUCUGUAAUUGUUGUGAUGAAUGCAUAGUCAUUAGAUUUGAAGGAGAACCUUGCAAUGCCCUUAUUGAUAAGAUGUACGAACCGAAAUUUUCCUGUGCUCCUGGUUUACAAUGUGACGACUAUACUCUGCGAUGCGUGAACGUUUCUAAGCUGACGGAACCUCCAUGGCUUCUCUAAACCAGAUUAUUUUUUUCUUAAUAAAACAGAGCAGUGUAUUAGCUUUAGGAUUAGUACUGUAAUUCUUUUCUUACAGUUAAAAGGCAAAAAAACUGUUUCGCUAUAGAUAUCUAAUGUAAAGUGCAUUGGUCUUUUUAUAGGAAAUAAAAUAAUCUUACAGCAAA